UCUACAGCAAAUCCUAUCACUACCUCCACAUGGCACCGGCUGGAUAAUGACCAACUUGUGGUAGAUUGACCAACACGAAAGG
rnacentral:ribozyme from 1 species